GCAAGUCGAGCGGACUUGAUGGAGUGCUUGCACUCCUGAUGGUUAGCGGCGGACGGGUGAGUAACACGUAGGUAACCUGCCCAUAAGACUGGGAUAACCCACGGAAACGUGAGCUAAUACCAGAUAGGCAUUUUCCUCGCAUGAGGGGAAUGAGAAAGGCGGAGCAAUCUGUCACUUAUGGAUGGACCUGCGGCGCAUUAGCUAGUUGGUGAGGUAACGGCUCACCAAGGCGACGAUGCGUAGCCGACCUGAGAGGGUGAUCGGCCACACUGGGACUGAGACACGGCCCAGACUCCUACGGGAGGCAGCAGUAGGGAAUCUUCCGCAAUGGACGAAAGUCUGACGGAGCAACGCCGCGUGAGUGAUGAAGGUUUUCGGAUCGUAAAGCUCUGUUGCCAGGGAAGAACGCCUAGGAGAGUAACUGCUCCUAGGGUGACGGUACCUGAGAAGAAAGCCCCGGCUAACUACGUGCCAGCAGCCGCGGUAAUACGUAGGGGGCGAGCGUUGUCCGGAAUUAUUGGGCGUAAAGCGCGCGCAGGCGGCAAUGUAAGUUGGGUGUUUAAACCUAGGGCUCAACCUUGGGUCGCAUCCAAAACUGCAUAGCUUGAGUACAGAAGAGGAAAGUGGAAUUCCACGCGGGAGCG
rnacentral:rRNA from 1 species